rnacentral:rRNA from 2 species
GUGGAUUAGUGGCGAACGGGUGAGUAACACGUUGGGCAAUCUGCCCUGCACUCUGGGACAAGCCCCUGGAAACGGGGUCUAAUACCGGAUGAUACCUACUGGGGCAUCUUAGUGGGUUGAAAGCUCCGGCGGUGCAGGAUGAGCCCGCGGCCUAUCAGCUUGUUGGUGGGGUGAUGGCCUACCAAGGCGACGACGGGUAGCCGGCCUGAGAGGGCGACCGGCCACACUGGGACUGAGACACGGCCCAGACUCCUACGGGAGGCAGCAGUGGGGAAUAUUGCACAAUGGGCGGAAGCCUGAUGCAGCGACGCCGCGUGAGGGAUGACGGCCUUCGGGUUGUAAACCUCUUUCAGCAGGGAAGAAGCGUGAGUGACGGUACCUGCAGAAGAAGCACCGGCUAACUACGUGCCAGCAGCCGCGGUAAUACGUAGGGUGCGAGCGUUGUCCGGAAUUAUUGGGCGUAAAGAGCUCGUAGGCGGCUUGUCGCGUCGGAUGUGAAAGCCCGGGGCUUAACUCCGGGUCUGCAUUCGAUACGGGCAGGCUAGAGUGUGGUAGGGGAGAUCGGAAUUCCUGGUGUAGCGGUGAAAUGCGCAGAUAUCAGGAGGAACACCGGUGGCGAAGGCGGAUCUCUGGGCCAUUACUGACGCUGAGGAGCGAAAGCGUGGGGAGCGAACAGGAUUAGAUACCCUGGUAGUCCACGCCGUAAACGUUGGGAACUAGGUGUUGGCGACAUUCCACGUCGUCGGUGCC